UAAUUAUUUUCUGAAGUCUUUAAAUUUCUACUCUAACACCUGACAAAGACCCAUCUUUGUCAGGUGUUAGAGUAGAAAUUUAAAGUCUUCAGAAAAUAAUUA
rnacentral:miRNA from 1 species